AACGAACGUUAGCGGCGCACCUAACACAUGCAAGUCGCACGAGAAAGGGCUUCGGCCCCGGUAAAGUGGCGCACGGGUGAGUAACACGUGGGUAAUCUGCCCUCGAGCAGGGGAUAACAUUCCGAAAGGAGUGCUAAUACCGUAUAAGACCACGACCUCGAAAGAGGAUGCGGUAAAAGCUGGCCUCUAUACAUAAGCUAGCACUUGAGGAUGAGCCCGCGGCGCAUCAGGUAGUUGGUGAGGUAAUGGCUCACCAAGCCUAAGACGCGUAGCUGGUCUGAGAGGAUGAUCAGCCACACUGGAACUGAGACACGGUCCAGACUCCUACGGGAGGCAGCAGUGGGGAAUCUUGCGCAAUGGGCGAAAGCCUGACGCAGCGACGCCGCGUGAGUGAUGAAGGCCUUCGGGUUGUAAAGCUCUGUGGGGAGAGACGAAUAAGUGCAGCCUAAUACGUUGCAUGAUGACGGUAUCUCCUCAGCAAGCACCGGCUAACUCUGUGCCAGCAGCCGCGGUAACAC
rnacentral:rRNA from 1 species